rnacentral:rRNA from 1 species
AAUUUGGGACAAUGGGGGCAACGCUGAUCCAGCCAUCCCGCUUGUGCGAUGAUGGCCUUCGGGUUGUAAAGCACUUUUGGUAGGGAAGAAAAGGCGCCGGAUAAUACCUGGCGCCGCUGACGGUACCUGCAGAAUAAGCACCGGCUAACUACGUGCCAUCAGCAGCGGUAAUACGUAGGGUGCAAGCGUUAAUCGGAAUUACUGGGCGUAAAGCGUGCGCCGGCGGUUCGGAAAGAAAGAUGUGAAAUCCCAGGGCUUAACCUUGGAACUGCAUUUUUAACUGCCGGGCUAGAGUAUGUCAGAGGGGGGUAGAAUUCCACGUGUAGCAGUGAAAUGCGUAGAGAUGUGGAGGAAUACCGAUGGCGAAGGCAGCCCCCUGGGAUAAUACUGACGCUCAUGCACGAAAGCGUGGGGAGCAAAC